CUUCCUCUUUCCCUCCUAGGUAUAACUUACUACUUGGGGAUGAGGGGGAUCAAAUGUAGUCAGAACUGGAAGAGAGCUUAAAGAAGAUGAUUUGUUUAACCUGUGUCUUUUUUUUCACUUGAGAAAACAGAUCCUCCUUAAGUUGGCUGCACUAGUGAAGCUUAUUCAGUGAGCCAGGGGCAGUGCCAGGAUCUGAAGCCAGAGCUGCAGGCAAUGCCCAGGAGUAGGCAAGACUUGAUAGAAAAGCCUAAUCUCACCCAGAGAAGUUGAGUGUUAGCAUUAUGAGGCAUAGUUCUAAAUGGAAACUCAUCAUGAGAACCGAAUAUAUACAUAUUGUAAAACCAAAUGACAAGCUAUCAUUCAUGGAAGAUACUAGUAUUUAUUAGGUUCUAACUACAUGCAAAAUGUUGUCCUAUAGGCUUCACACAUAAUACUUCAUUUCUUCUGACAUUUUGAUAAAAUAGGUACUGUUAUCUCCUUUUACAGGUAAGGAAACUGAGGUACACAAGGAUGAACUUUUGCAAGGCUACACAUCUAGUUAAUGGUGAAGCUAACGUUCAGACCCAACUGGUUCAGCUCUAGACUUUGUCUCAGUUACUGAACUGAACUCUCUGUGCACUUACCAUGUGUCAUACCAGCUCUCAGUACAUAGUGUCCCAAAAGAUUGGGCAUGCUCUUUCUUUCAGAGACAAUUAGGAAAAAAGUAAACAAAUGGAGCAGGAUUUGGGCAUAACAGCAUGCUCCUCCCAUCCCCCAAAUCCCAGGAGUGUCACUGAGGUCAGUGCCAGUUAACUUAGUGCUCUUCAACUUCACAGCUACCCUUCUUUGCCGUAAAUUGUGACAUUAGAGCUGAAAUCUGUAAACGUCUUUAUGGUCAGUUGGCACAAUGUUUAGCUUUGUCAAUAGAAGGUGCUAGGGGAACACUGCAGAAAGAAAGGGGCUCCUUUUCUUGGUUCCAGUACUUUCCUGCUUGCUCCUAUGGUAUGGUGGCCAGUGAGUGACUUUCUGACCAGUGGUGUGCAAGAAGGCCAUGUUACAUAAUCUUCAGUAAAUUUGGCCAGUUCCCUAGUAUGUGUCUUUCUAUGGAGUACCACUGGUACAUCAGUGGAAUGGCUUCCUAGCAAGUUUUACUGAAAACACAGCUGAUGGUUUCCUCAGCAGCCCAGUGUGUGACACCUUAAAUUUCUGGAUCAUUAAGUGGACCACAGCCAUAUUAUUUCCAAUGAGCGCCUACUCUCAGGCUUAGUAGGGUAGAGGGUGGGUAGGGGGAAGUUCUUCUCAGUUAUUCCCUCCUUGGGUACUCUCCUAGAGCCUGAGAGAUAGUGGCUGUUCCCAAUAACCACUAUUACUGUAUUAUUUAGUGGGCUUUUUUCCUCUCCUAAUAGUCAAUACCCUUUGACUGGAUCUUAACUGAUAAAAGUGGAACCCUGAGGAAAGCACUAUCCUUGGAGUCAGAAAUUGGGAUCAGACUAUUUUUUUUCUUUCUAUUAUGGUAUUCCUCAUAUUCGCUUUAUUUCUCCACUGCCUUUACCCUUUUUGGAUUUGAUGCUAUGUCAAGAAAAAAUUAUUUCGUCACUGAGCACUCUGAGUGUAGAGCAGAAUGCUAAAUGUUGCAUGCUAUGCCAGAAGAAAAGUAGUUUAGGAAUCCUAAAAUCCAAAGAAAGAAAGAUAUGAAUGCAUUGAGUUCUUAGAAGGGUUAUAUGAGAUAGAUGCUUGUGGCAAGCCUGGUCUCCACCCAGAUCUCCUAGGAUCCCUUUGGUUGAAUCUGAGUAUCCUUCCUCUAGCUUCUGUGUUCUUUUGCUUCUCACAGCCUGCCCUGAGACUCUCUUUGGAGGAAUGCCCAAACACUACUAGACUCACUUUGUCUACUGGCAUAGAGAGCCAGACAGAACCACCUGCAAGUUUACUUCUUUCCCAGGAUGCCCUUUGCCAAGGACUUUCCUAUAGAGUAUAAAAGACCAGCCGUCUUGCCUCUAGUAGCAAGAAAACCUGAGGUGUAAUUUACACCCUGAGGCUCCCCUGUAGAAUUAUAUUGAUGUUAGGAUUUUGCCUGAAACCACCUUCUUCCCUAUCUUGCUUACUGUGGUACCUGAUGAGUUUUUCCUGGUAGCAUUUCUAUAAUAAAUCACUUGCAGACAAUCUUCAUCUCAGGGUUUGAUCCUGGGGAUCCUGACUUAAGACAUUGCUAUUCUUCUUUUUUUUCCUUCUGCAGAUGAGGAAACUGAGGAUCAGGGCUUUUAAAUUGCCCCAAAUCACACUACCAAUAAGAGAUAGAGUCGUGGUACCUUUUUUAGAGGGACCAUUAUUCUGCUGACUAUAGUACUGCAGAGCAUAAAGUUUCUUAUCCACACUGUUUCUCAGUUCAGUCUGUCAAUAUCACUACUCCACGAUUAUUGUGUUUGUUUUUCUUUCUUCCUCAGAAAUCUCUAUCGUGUUGCCAGAGAGACCUUUCUGAAACCUCUCCUUUUUUCUGUGUUUAAAACCCCCCAGUGCCGCCCAUGAAAUACACAGCAAAGUCCAAACUCCUUAUCUUGCUGGGAUCCUCCUUUCCACCCUUUUUAACUGUUCAGCCAUAUUUCUCCAUGUACUUCUGAGACUGGAACCCAGGGCAACAAAGCUAAUGUGUGUUCUCCAAGAUUAACACAACUGAAAGGAGGCCCCUUUAUGUCAUCUAUUCUAGGUCCCUUGGAAUAUAAUUAAAAACAGGAAUUUCAUCGUUGAAAUGUAAUGAUGUUCAGAUAAGGGCAGUGGCUUGAGCCAAUCUCCCACCAUGUCUGGGGACUGGGACAGCUGAGCCAGUGGUCCUACCUAAGGGUCAGGCCUGUGUCUUCACUUCUCCUUUCAACCCUUUACUUCUUCCAGAGUUGAACGGCUUGCUUUCCUUCGCUCACUAGGCCAUUUCAUGGUUUGUGUUUGCCUGAAAUACAACUCUUUCCCUGCCUGGUCUACACCUGCUCACCCUCCAAGAAAUACCUCUGGGCCCACUUUCUUUCUUGGAAGCAUUUUAUGACUCUUAUUUCUGUUACCAACACAGCUUUUAUUUAUGUCUCCAUGUAUCCUUUGAAGAAACACAACUUUCCAGGUUCUAUGUUUUAUUUGCAUUCUUAGUGUCUGGCACAUUGUCUGACACAGUGUAAAAGCUGAGUAGAAUUUUGCCUGACAGCAGAUGUGCCUAAAGUGAGGGUGUCCAAAAUUUCAUUAAAUGACCACUGCUUUAAUAUGAAUUCUUGGCUAAGGCAGGAGAAUCGCUUGAACCCCGGAGGCAGAGGUUGCAGUGAGCCGAGAUCACACCACUGCACUCCAGCCUGGUGACAGAGGGAGAAUCCAUCUCAAAAAAAAAAAAAAAGAAUAUAUAUAUGAAUUCUUACUGCUAGUAUUAAACGAUUAUCUCUUUACACUCAUAGUAAUGUCUUACAAUAACAGAAUGCAGGAGAGCACAUAUAAAUGAAGAAAAGACAAAAUGUACUUACCAUGAAGCUGAGGUUAAGAAACCAGUGUCUUCAAGAGCCGGGGACAGCACUGGGUCUCACAGAGUUGAGAGAUGGUGAUGACAUGUGGUUUCCAGCAUUCCUGGCCCAGUCCGGGGACACUGUGGGUGUGCCCAGCUUAAGUCCAGUAACUGGAAAUACAAGCCCAAGUUCUGGAGAGUUUGAGCUGCAGAGAUAUAUAUGGGGACACUUUGAACCUUGACUCAUUGGCCAUAACCAGCAGAGUGGAAAAUACAAGAAGAGAAAAAAACAUUGAACUGCGAUUUUAUAACGUCCUUUACUAGGCAGAGAGAAGAGGAAAGACCAGGAAAGAAAACUGUAUUACAAUGUGAAAAUGUAAUGUUAAGAAAUUCAGUCAUCUUGGGGUUAGUGAGGAGAAGUUUUAGGGGCUUAGACUCUUCAAAACACAUGUACAGACAUGCAUAUUUCAUCUGAUAUCAAAUGACAUUUAUAGUGCUAAUCUUUACCUCAAGACUUCACAUCUUUUGGUGAUUGCAUCUUUUAGGUUUAUAGCAGUUAAGUUUGCAUGAACGCACCAGGGCUGUUUCAUUUCAGUCAAGAAUUAAUGUUCAUUGAUUGUACUUCUGCAUUUCAUAUAACUACUGUAGAAUUUGUUUUAGUUUUAUGAGGGAAUAAUUGGUCCAACUUCUAUAUAACUCAGGAAUUUACUCUCAAACAACACUGUCAAUUAGUUACUUAUCUCUCUGGAAAUGACCUGGGAACAUGGAGAGGAAAGGGAGGAAGAGGCAAAAUCUGACUACUUAUAAGUAUAUUAGAUAAUUUUGGUGGCCAGAAAGUCCUGAAUGAUGUGACUUUCAUUCUUGUAAAACACCUCUUUGCAUAGAUUUAUGGCCCAAACAGUAUAUAAAGAGUGGAGAAGGAACUGCAUUUGCAAAUAGUUCAAAUCAUUGCUCCAUCUUAACUAUGCAGUUCACAAAGUAUGAAGAAAUUUGAUCAUCUCAAAAAAGAUAAUGGAAAAAAGUAUGUUUUUUUCUGUGACUUUAAAGUCUUACAAUAUUUUACAUAAAUGAUAAUGGGUACUUUAAUAAGAACCCUUGAUACUUUUGUUAUUGUAUUCAAUAUAUGCAUAUAAUACAACAGGAUGAUAUUGUUUUGGAUUUGGAAAUGUAUUCUUUCUUAUGCAAUCUUAUGCGGUCAUACUGCGUGAAUAUCACUACCUGAAUUUAUCUCUAUUUUUGUUGUUGUUGUUGUUUUGCACUCUACUUAUUUGGUGCCUGUCAGUCUUUUAUCAUCAGUUUAUAUUCUACUAAACUCAAAAAGACAAUCUCAUACCUUUUGUAAUUGUAGGCAUUCCUUACUAAAGUUUUAAAUACACUUCAAAAAUUCAAGUACUUUGAUUUCAUGCCAUCAAGUGGCUGAAUCUAUCCCCCUCUCUCUUUUUAAAUUUAAGUGAGUAGUUCAAUUUCUGUUGUUUUCUACUUUGUGAAUUCUAAAUCUUUUAAAACCAUCUUGCCAUUUUUCAUGCACUUACCCUUACAGAAAACUCUAUGAAACACUACUUAUCUCUACUUUUGUUUUUAACUCCUUUUUUAUAUUACUAUUCCCUCUGCUUUCUAAAUGCACAUAUUAAUUUGUUCUUUUUAUUCUCUGUAGCUCUUCUCAAUAUAUGAAUUCAGUUUCCCAUCAAUCCCCAUACAAUUAAAAAAAUAAAUGUUAAGUAUUCUGUUAUUUUAAUAUAUCUAGUGCCCAUAUUCUAAUUCUGCCUCUUAUUUUUAAAAUAAUUUUAUUGUUGAUUUAAAAUGACAACAGUUUCAAUUCCCAGAAAGUGAAAGGAAACAAAGGAAUAAUAUUAUGGGCUUAAUUUUUAUCAGUGAACUUGUAGGUGAAGAAAAGAUUUGGGGAAGGAAAUGAACAUAUUAUAUUGCAAAAUAGUAAGGAACAAUCAGAUGUGUUUUCUAGUCUCUAGAAAAGCAUGUUUCAAGAAAUUCAACGAAAAGUUCAUCAUGCUUGCUUAGAUUGUUGAGAAGCAAAAAUACUGAUGAACAUUUGGAAGCAAUGAGAAUGUAAUUCUAAUCAUACUAUUUUAAUAAUUUUGAAAACUCUCCAAACACUACUCUGUGUGGAUGUCUUUCAGAAUAUGAUGAAUACUAGUAGUCUUAUUCUGCCCUUUUCUCUCUACCACAAUAUAUACAUUGCAUAUUGCACACACAUAUUUUCCAAAUAUUACAUAUAAUUUCAUGUAAUUUAUAGACCUAUUACGGCCCAACCAUUUUCUUGGAUAGGGGAUUCUUUGGAAGUCCAGCUUAAAUAAAGCCCUUAUAGAAAGUUUUUUUUUAAAUUUAUACAUAAUCACCUAAAGUAACCUUAUCUACUGAACUCUUAGUACAUGCUAUCAGAACCUUUUAUCACGUUUCUUCCUGGCUUGUAUUACAACACUGUUGACAUAUCUCAGCCUCACUUCUAGGCUUCUUUGAGAGCAUGACUCAUGUUUGUAUUCCUCACUGAGGUUGAAUGAAUAAGAGAAACUACAGUAGUAGGAAAAAACCGCACAUGUAGAUAUCAGUGAAUAUGAAAGGGUCAAAUGGAUCUAUUAUAGUAAGCACAAAAUCAACUGACACCAGCAAAGUAAACCCAAAAUUUUUAAUGGUAUUUUAAUAGAUCAAGAGGAGCAAGCAGAUUGCUAUCUGGGAAGGUGGUAAAGUUUUGAGAGAGUUGUCUCCUACUUUCUCUAUCACGGGGAGUAAUUUUAAAAGAAAAAUGGAGGGUAAGUUUCUUUAAGGGAAAAUUGUAGCUUAAAACAGGUUAUGGGAUAAUUAGAAAUAAUUUAAUUGUUUUAGCGGAUUUUAAACUUUCAACUGCUUGCAAUUAGAUCCUAAGGCAAUACAAGAAUCAGGAGGUUUGGAAAACCAUUGUCUGUAAUCUCUGAAGAAAAGUGGACAUCAGACGAGUCAGUUGAAAAGCAAAGCUAUCACCAUUUUCUAAAGAGGAAAAAGGUGAACCUCACAAACUAUAGACCAAAAAAAUAGGACAUCGAGAGAAAGAAUAUGAAGCUAGCAUAGGUUCACGAAGAAUGAGUCAAAUCAAACAACAUGCAUUUUUUAUUUAUAAAGCAUGACUUGUUCAUUGUCAAUUCGUGUUAGCCUAAUGAUUAGGCAUUAAUGUCAUCACUGCAAUGCAUAUGUCAGCAAUAAAUAAUCAAACACCAGGCUUCCAUCAUUCUGUUUAAUAUCUUCGAGUAAUGCUUAAGUUUGCAAAUGCUCUUUUAACACAUUCUGCAUAUGCAGCCUGCCCAGCACUGCACACAAUAGACCUGUUACUUCCCCUUCACGAGCACUCCUAAUAUUUCAUGUGCUCAUCCAAUUGACUUCUCCCACUGGUGCCUCAUAUUGAAUUUGUAGAAUCACACCUGCUCCUUUUUCAGAACUCUUCUGAGUUUUUUCUUAAAUAAUUCACUGACCCCAAAGUGUCAGAUAUUUGAAGACUACUUGCACAAUUUUAAUAUUAUAAAUGUAUAAUGUAAAUGUAAUCAAGAUUUGUAUAAUGUACAAUGUACUUUGGUAAAUAAAAGCUGUGAAUACAUAUGAUACAAUUCAAAA